rnacentral:lncRNA from 1 species
GUUAGUACCUGCCACAUUAGGUGCGUGGGACCCAAUCAAACGUAAAUGUGUGAGGCGCCCACUGCCAGGUUCAUAAUCACUGCUCCGUGGCUGCUGAUGGUUCUGAUGCUUAUCAUGACCGCUAGGAGCUGGAGAUAGAUCUUGAGAUCUCUUCUGCCCGGGUCAUGGCGGAGCAGCGACACCACUGUUCACAGGCUUGCUGCGAGGAUGGGAGGCAGCAGCGAGGGGACGGAGCCCUCCCAGCAGUAAACCGCAACUGUGACCCCCUAAUUCAAAGCUCCUCCCCUCGGCGGCAGCGAGGACAACGGCUUUCAGUUUGAAGAAUGGUGGCUGUUACACUAAGAUGGAGCCAGAGCAUCUCGGGAUGCUGUCCGACACUCCGAGGGCAGCAGAACUCUCGCUGGGUGGCUGAUGGCAGACCCAUUCUCUUGCCUCGAAUGCAGCAGACUGACCGCUUCCAGUUAAGUAAAAAUAUCAAAACCGUAACGUGCAUGAGAGCACCUUGGGAUAAAUGCAUUACGGAGCUGUCAUCACAGCUCUCACUCCACCAGUUCCUGCCGUUCAUGUGCGAUGCACAUGGGGCUCCUUGGCAAUCGGGACCACCGCUUCCUUCCAACACAGGUGAUCCGCUUCCUGGGCCGACCUCCGGGUCCUGCCACGACCCUCCCACAGUAGCCAUUUACUCGUUCUACCACUGGUUUUUUGCGUUUUGUUUUGUUUUGUUUUGCACGGAAUUAAUCACCUAUUUUCUACCAACUCGCCAGGCAAACGGGAUCUUUCACUUCCCUCAGUGCUUCUGUAACAGGAGGGGGUUUGAAUGAGAUGGGUGUUUUCCAAACUGGGCUGCUGGGGAGAGCUCUGAGCACUUCAAGGGGCUCACUAGGGGCUGCCGUAAGAAGGGAGUGCCCCGAAGGAGAGACUCUGGGUCCCUGAGCCUAUUGUUUCUGUUUUACAUUUUAGAACCCC